UACGAGGGGGGCAAGUGGUUGUUCGGAAUCACUGGGCGUAAAGGGAGCGUAGGCGGGCUCUUAAGUUGGAUGUUUAAAACCGGGGCCCAACCCCGGCGUGGCAUCCAAAACUGGGAGUCUUGAAUGGAACAGAGGCUAGUGGAAUUGGAGGUGUAGCGGUGGAAUGCGUAGAGAUCUCCAAGAACACCCGUUGCGAAGGCGGCUAGCUGGGUUCACAUUGACGCUGAGGCUCGAAAGCGUGGGGAGCAAACAGG
rnacentral:rRNA from 1 species